UACGUAGGUCCCGAGCGUUGUCCGGAUUUAUUGGGCGUAAAGCGAGCGCAGGUGGUUUAUUAAGUCUGGUGUAAAAGGCAGAGGCUCAACCAUUAUAUGCAUUGGAAACUGGUAGACUUGAGUGCAGGAGAGGAGAGUGGAAUUCCAUGUGUAGCGGUGAAAUGCGUAGAUAUAUGGAGGAACACCGGUGGCGAAAGCGGCUCUCUGGCCUGUAACUGACACUGAGGCUCGAAAGCGUGGGGAGCAAACAGG
rnacentral:rRNA from 1 species